rnacentral:rRNA from 1 species
UGUUAGUGGCAGACGGGUGAGUAAUGCGUAGGAAUCUACCUAGUAGUACGGAAUAGCCAUUAGAAAUGGUGGGUAAUACUGUAUAAUCCCCGAGGGGGAAAGAUUUAUCGCUAUUAGAUGAGCCUACGUUAGAUUAGCUAGUUGGUGAGGUAAUGGCUUACCAAGGCUAUGAUCUAUAGCUGGUCUGAGAGGACGAUCAGCCACACUGGAACUGAGAUACGGUCCAGACUCCUACGGGAGGCAGCAGUGGGGAAUAUUGGACAAUGGGCGAAAGCCUGAUCCAGCUAUGCCGCGUGAGUGAAGAAGGCCUUCGGGUUGUAAAACUCU